rnacentral:rRNA from 1 species
UGUUCUUCUUUUAGUAACUAAACGUGAUAUUAGUUUAAUUCAUCGUGAGAUAGAAUUGUUUAUCUUGUUAAUUACUUGUGUUGAAGGCAGGCAGUACGAAAGGAAAUUUGUUAAAGUUUUUAACUUUGUUAGAGGGCGUGUCC